UACAGAGGUGGCAAGCGUUGUUCGGAAUUACUGGGCGUAAAGGGCGCGUAGGCGGCCUUCUAAGUCAGACGUGAAAUCCCCAGGCUUAACUUGGGAACUGCGUCUGAUACUGGGAGGCUUGAGUGCGGGAGAGGGAUGUGGAAUUCCAGGUGUAGCGGUGAAAUGCGUAGAUAUCUGGAGGAACACCGGUGGCGAAGGCGGCGUCCUGGACCAACACUGACACUGAUGAGCGAAAGCCAGGGGAGCAAACGGG
rnacentral:rRNA from 1 species